UCUCUCGUCUGAACUCUGAAGAGCAGCCUACUACCACCAUCUCUAAGUCUCUCUAUCAUAUUGCCACCAUCUCUAUCAUCGAUUUGUGCUUCUUCUCUAUCUCUGACUGAGUCAGAAAAAGUGAGAUCUGCAGUAUGGGAAUAUUUUGAGAAACUUCAUUCGACAAGAGCAAAGUGUAGGCACUGCUCAAAAGUAUAUGCCAUUGAUGCCAAGAGAAGCGGGACAACUGAUUUGAGAUUUCAUAUACAACAAUAUCCAAUCCUUCAAUUAAUGAAGCGUA